GAAAUGCGAUAAGUAAUGUGAAUUGCAGAAUUCAGUGAAUCAUCGAAUCUUUGAACGCACCUUGCGCUCCUUGGUAUUCCUUGGAGCAUGCCUGUUUGAGUAUCAUGAAAUCUUCAAAGUAAAUCUUUUGUUAACUCAAUUGGUUUCUACUUUGGUAUUGGAGGUCUUUGCAGCUUCACACCUGCUCCUCUUUGUUCAUUAGCUGGAUCUCAGUGUUAUGCUUGGUUCCACUCGGCGUGAUAAGUUAUCUAUCGCUGAGGACACUGUAAAAGGUGGCCAAGGUAAAUGCAGAUGAACCGCUUCUAAUAGUCCAUUGACUUGGACAAUACUUUUAUGAUCUGAUCUCAAAUAGGUAGGACUACCCGCUGAACCUAAGC
rnacentral:misc_RNA from 1 species